rnacentral:rRNA from 1 species
AUAUCAAUCAGCGGUGGAAAAGAAACCAACUCGGAUUCCUCAGUAACGGCGAGUGAAGCGGGAACAGCCCAACCCCGAAUCGCUUCGGCGAGUUGUAGGGUGUAGUCGGAUCAUUUCGAUUGUUUCUUGCAUCCAAGUCUCUUGGAACAGGGCACCAUAGAGGGUGAAAGUCCCGUUCGAUGCUUCGUCUCAAUCUCCUUUGACCCUGACUCGAGUAGUGAUGUU